GCCCGAGCCCAGUAAUGGGGCGAGGCGUCGCGGCGGUGUUCCUGCACGCCUUGUCGGCCUUGGAGCUAGCCUUGGCGGGGGCGGGCCGAGGCGUCGCGGCGGAGGACGAUAAGCAGACGGGCACGCGCCGCCGGCGCGCUUGCCGUGGGCGUCCGCUUCGCCCGAGCCCAGGAGUGGGGCCAGGGGUCGCGCCGGCGUUCCUACAUGCCUUGUCGCCCUUGAAGCUGGCCUUGGCGGGCCGAGGCGUCGCGGCGGAGGACGACAAGGCGGCCGGCGUGCUCUGUUGGGGCGACACGUCGCGGCGCUCCGGCUCCAGCAGAUGACGGCAGAGAGCCAGGUGUGGCUUUGUGUCGCCAACAACCACGAGGUCAUCGGCGCCGGCCACCGUGCCAGGCUGGACCAGCUGCUGCAGCCCCCCUGCGUCGUCGCCGUCGCCGUGGCACAAGAAGCGCGAGUUCCCCCUCGCUAUCGGAGGCUGGGUGUCGUUCUCUAGUGCAGAUUGUCUAAUUGAGUUUUUGAAAGCGUCGUCCACGUCUGCACUUCAUGGGUCCAUACACUGGGAACUCACGCCUGAGAACUUCCUGCUCACCAGAUUGGUUUCAGUUUCUCUGUCUCCAUCGAAGAAGUGGCAAGCAUGGUUAGGGCGAGCAACGAGGGUUCCUGUAGUGCAUAACCAUUUCAAGUCGCCCAAGUUCUAAAGAGAGAUCAGAAGUGCCAGCUACUGAAGCAAAAAAAAAGGACCUGAUACACAUUGUAAUCAUGGACUGCUGAUAUACCUGAUGCAUUUCUUCAUGAUGGUCGAUUUCUGUUCACCGGAUCUUACAUGUUUAAUUAUGUGUGCUCGGAACCAAAAACUGAUUGAGAUCUUCAGUUCUUACUUGCAGAUGUUCUGUUAUUCAGAGUGAUAUUCCUAAUGGUUGCUGCUGACGCUAAAAAAUUUACUCCUGAAGCACUAGAAGUGCCCUCUCUAUGGCGCAUCACUCACUGGAUCCAGAUGGGCAACAUUCCGCUUAAAGAUUAAAGAGUACCGUUUUUGCAUGCUAUCAUUGCUUAUCCAAGAGUAAUCUACCAUGUGCCUAAUAUAUAUACAUGAUUGUUGCACCAUCACAAGAUUUCCAUUAUAUACAUGGGCAUAACUUUCUUUACUGUGAAUUAAUCGACACGAUGCUUCUGUUUUAAGGAAUGGCAAUGCUAAAUUCUACAGUGGUACUCUCUACUCUGUCGAAUGUUUACAAACACCACAAAGCUAGAGAUCUAUUGUGGAAACCUUUCUUUCUUUUGUUUGUUAUAACUUCUUAGUGUAAAAAUAAAUAUGGCUUGUCCAUUACGAAACAAAUAUGUAAAAUUUAUUACUUUUCAAAGUUGAAUUGUUCCUGACAAUUACACAUGAGAGUGCAUAUAAUUGAGUUGUGCUGACUUGCUGUUUCUAAAAUGAUAAGCUGGAGCUGGAGUUACAUAUGAGAGUAGAGAUAAUUAAGUUGUGCUCCUGACUUGAUUAACAAAAGCUGCAGAAGAAAGGGACAAAAUACCAAAAAGCUGAAAAUUUGAAGAAAGGUGGAAGUAGGGAACUACACAACUUGAUUCAAGGUUACGAAGGGACAAAGGGCAUUGAUUGAGCAGGAGAAAACAAUAAUGGGCCGAGGCAAGGAUAUAGUGCUCAGUUAGUAAAGAGAUAUGUGGGAAGUGGAGCAGCGGGAUGCAAAUGGAAUUUUUGUGACUCACUGAAGGUGAGCAAAACUUCAGAAAAGAAAUUGCAACAGAAGUAGAGCCUCAUCACCAAGAGAACAUAGGGAUUUUAAGUUUUUUGUAGCCUGCACCGGAGACUGUAGAGUUAAGUUUCUACAUCUCAGUGUACAGUUUAACUAUAUCAGGUUAUUUACUAUGUAGUAAAUAUUUGCUUUUGCCA